rnacentral:rRNA from 1 species
UACCAGUACCCCGAGUGGUCGGGACGUUUAUUGGGCCUAAAGCAUCCGUAGCCGGUUCUACAAGUCUUCCGUUAAAUCCAACUGCUUAACAGGUGGGCUGCGGAAGAUACUAUAGAGCUAGGAGGCGGGAGAGGCAAGCGGUACUCGAUGGGUAGGGGUAAAAUCCGUUGAUCCAUUGAAGACCACCAGUGGCGAAGGCGGCUUGCCAGAACGCGCUCGACGGUGAGGGAUGAAAGCUGGGGGAGCAAACCGG